GGGGUCCCGCCAGCCGCUCCAGCUGCCGCGGGUUGGAGCCGCUCAGGAACCGCAGCUCCUCCUUGCCGUCCUCCGUGCGCGCUGCAAGACAGAAGUGUGAAGGGGAAAAACAAGAAAAGGCCAGGACUCACCUUUCCCAGCAGCUCCUGGGGCAAAUAGGCAGAACUGGGUUUGAAGAGAGAGCCGGUCUGGCUGAGGGUUGUCACAAUAGCACCUCCGCUCUAAAAGGUAGAUUAGAAACCCUUUUAGCUGCAAACGCAGUAGUUGUGAAAUAGUUAUGGACUGAUUCUAAAUAAGUGAGGCGGUGUUUUUUUGAUCUUACAGUUACUUCAAUUCCAAAAUUCUAUAUAAUGGACUUCUUACAAUGCUCCUAACUACAUUAAGCCUGGCUACUCCAAGGACACAUGCAGAACAGGGAAUACGUAGCUGGUGUUUCCAGUGCUGGCAUUUAAACGUGUCAUUCUUACCUAUAAAUGGCUUUUCUAUUGAAACAACUGAAAUACUUUAAAAAGGACUUUUCUAUAUACUUUUGCAUCUGAAGACUACCUGUUAGAGAUACUAGCAUCCAGAGGAUUGAAAAAGAAGCAAAAGGAGCUGACCUCCUAUAGCAAAACAUCUAGAAACUAAAAGUUCUCAUUAGUUCAAAAAAUCAGAAAGCAAAGUGUCAUAAGUGUUAUUAAAUACCUCUAGCUCAGGGUCAUAAACUGGAGUUUGGCACGGUAAUCAAGAAAAGCAUUGUUACAUAUCUGACCUGUUCUUAUUUCUCUUUGGGUGAUGUCAGAAACGCUGAUGAGAUACUAACCCUUAACAGUCACAUGAUGUUCAUCCUCUCCUUUGCUGAAGCAACAGUGUGAUGUUAGAUUUGUAGCUUUACGCUUAUCAGCAGGUAGUUUUAAUUGCUGAGAAUAACACACCCAAAGGUACAGACUGGAACUCACCCAAUUAUUCAUCAUCAUCUUCCUUAGAUUGUACACGAGCGUCAGCUCCUCUGGAGAAACCUGGUGAAGAUUGUCUGCAUCACUUUUUUUGCCAGCAGUUUCAAUCUGAGACAUAAAUUCCCCUCCCCUACUUUAAAUUAGACUGGAAGGAUCAUUUGCAUCCUUUUGGUGCAUUUUUUUCUUUGCUUUUACUUAGCACUGUAGCAUUCAGCCUUAGUAAUGUUACACAGAGAAACGCCCAAACCUUUCCUGCUGUAACAAGGCAUACAUGCACUUUUUUCUUACUAAGAGAACCUUCUUCAGUAAAAAUUGUCUAAAGCACAAUAUGAAUUUUGCAGGUCCCUCCAAGCUAGCAAAGCCAAAUGUAUGUCUUUCAGGGAUUACUAUAGAACUCAAAAAUUAACAAAACACUCUCCCUUGCAGUAGGAAUGCAGAAGUAUCAUCAGAACAAAUCACUUCUUACAGGGCUUUUGUCUUCCUUCUUUAAUGUAGUCCUUCCCCAGAGCGCAUUGACACCGUCCACUGCCACAAGAAGUCGGAAUGAGCCAAGAUGACAUUGCUGCUUUAUCUCUUUCAGCACAACCCCUACAGCAUCGCUGGCAUUUCUCACACGAGCUAAACCCUUUAAGUAGGAAAAGGCACAUCACUCAGGUUGGUUUUCUUGUUAAUACAUAAUGCUGGCAACUUUGGGCAUUGUCUGCCCUUUCUAAGGGGGAAGGAAGAUAAAACAACUGUCAACAGUCUGUUCGUUCGUUUCAAAGGAGCAAUCUGGUCUAAGGUACUGAGCAUCAAAGACAUAGGAACUUUCAGAUUCUAAUUUUUGCUUCUACCCAAGUUCUCUGUACAACUUCCUUUACAGAUCCAUCAGAUCUUCCACAAUGUUUUUUGUAGCCACCUUGUUGAUAGGGAAAUGCCUUUCAUUUCCUAGAAUUCGUAUUUGUAAGAUCUUUAGAAGCAAUUUGUUGUACAUAUGCAAUGACGGGAUCUUCUAAUAAAACGUGAGA